ACCGCGAACACCCCUACUGCCAAGGCCAAAGUUGGAUGGAGAGUUUUAGCAGCCAUUCAUUCCAUUUCUUAUCUUAAUGCUCUUCGUGCAGCUCUCACUAUAACUCUCAUAUCAAAACAUCACCGAAAAACGGCUCUGUCGCGCUGGAAAUUGCUUCUGGCGGCAGGGAUUCACCAUUCCAUGAAAACCAACCACCAAAAUGAUCGUCUCACUCUCCUCUCCUCAAGUCUAUCAUCAAUUUCUUCAUAACCCCCGCCAAUUUUCGAAAUCGAGCUAAUAAAGCUAAGAAUCCUAGGUCCUCAAAAUAGAAUUAAAUGGCGAUGAUGCACAAUUCAGAUUCAAGAUCUUAGGGUUAUCGAUCCUUAUAAUUAAUACCAUAAGUUGGUAACAAAUUUUAAGGGAAAUCAAGAGAAAUUAAAUGAGGGGAGCCUACCUUCAGAGCAGUGACUUGCUCUAACAGAUGUUGAGAGGCUUUAAGAAGAAUAUGCAGAGAAAUCAAGAGGUAAAUUAGGGCUUGGCAUGGAAUGACACAAUGUGCUCGUGAAGAUUUUGUUAGAAAGAUAUGGAACAAGUCAUGGCAUGAAGGUUUUCAUCAAAAAUAAAAAAUCAUGAAGAGCUUGAAGGCUUUUAAGGCUCACAAGAAUGAGGAUAGCUUGUGAAUGAAGAAAAUGUAGGAAUUAGGAAUAGGAUUAGUGGUUAACUUUAGUCAACUAUUUGACCAUGAAGUCAAUAGUUGACCAAAAGUCAACUAUAUGCCAAAAAUGUAAUUUUAUAUAGAAUUUGAUUUUGGAUUUUGUAAUGGAAUUUUGAAGGUUUUAUAAUAGAAAUGACUCUUUGAAUGGCA